ACUUUUCUAGUAUAACAGUACAAGUGACUUCCAAUCACUAAGUUUUAGUUUAAUCCUAAAGAAAAGUAAA
rnacentral:tRNA from 1 species